AGAUGAAUCGUCGUCAGACUCAGGAUCGUUCCCGCCCGCCUCAGGGGCACUAGGCCUCAUUGCGCACCUCUCCUCCUCUCCGUCGGAUGGCGUCAGGAAUUUCUUCAGAAGUUUCUGCGAUUCGGUCUGCAGCAGAGCUACAGGACUAUGCGACCAUUCCGUUAGGCAGUCAGCCACGCCCCCCAAUUCAGAAUAUAUUAUAUUUUGUUUUAGAAGA